UCGAACGGUAACAUUUCUAGCUUGCUAGAAGAUGACGAGUGGCGGACGGGUGAGUAAUGCUUGGGAACUUGCCUUUGCGAGGGGGAUAACAAUUGGAAACGACUGCUAAUACCGCAUAAUGUCUACGGACCAAACGGGGCUUAGGCUCCGGCGCAAAGAGAGGCCCAAGUGAGAUUAGCUAGUUGGUAAGGUAAUGGCUUACCAAGGCAACGAUCUCUAGCUGUUCUGAGAGGAAGAUCAGCCACACUGGAACUGAGACACGGUCCAGACUCCUACGGGAGGCAGCAGUGGGGAAUAUUGCACAAUGGGGGAAACCCUGAUGCAGCCAUGCCGCGUGUGUAAAGAAGGCCUUCGGGUUGUAAAGCACUUUCAGUUGUGAGGAAAAGUUAGUAGUUAAUACCUGCUAGCCGUGACGUUAACAACAGAAGAAGCACCGGCUAACUCCGUGCCAGCAGCCGCGGUAAUACGGAGGGUGCGAGCGUUAAUCGGAAUUACUGGGCGUAAAGCGCACGCAGGCAGUUUGUUAAGCUAGAUGUGAAAGCCCCGGGCUCAACCUGGGAUAGUCAUUUAGAACUGGCAGACUAGAGUCUUGGAGAGGGGAGUGGAAUUCCAGGUGUAGCGGUGAAAUGCGUAGAUAUCUGGAGGAACAUCAGUGGCGAAGGCGACUCCCUGGCCAAAGACUGACGCUCAUGUGCGAAAGUGUGGGUAGCGAACAGGAUUAGAUACCCUGGUAGUCCACACCGUAAACGCUGUCUACUAGCUGUUUGGGACUUUA
rnacentral:rRNA from 1 species